GACGAACGCUGGCGGCGUGCCUAAUACAUGCAAGUCGAGCGAAGUUUUUCUGGUGCUUGCACCGGAAAAACUUAGCGGCGAACGGGUGAGUAACACGUAAAGAACCUGCCUCAUAGACUGGGACAACUAUUGGAAACGAUAGCUAAUACCGGAUAAUAGCAUUAACUGCAUGGUUGAUGUUUAAAAGUUUGUUUUGCUAACACUAUGAGAUGGCUUUGCGGUGCAUUAGCUAGUUGGUGGGGUAAAGGCCUACCAAGGCGACGAUGCAUAGCCGACCUGAGAGGGUGAUCGGCCACACUGGGACUGAGACACGGCCCAGACUCCUACGGGAGGCAGCAGUAGGGAAUCUUCCGCAAUGGGCGAAAGCCUGACGGAGCAACGCCGCGUGAGUGAAGAAGGAUUUCGGUUCGUAAAGCUCUGUUGUUAGGGAAGAAUGAUUGUGUAGUAACUAUACACAGUAGAGACGGUACCUAACCAGAAAGCCACGGCUAACUACGUG
rnacentral:rRNA from 1 species